rnacentral:lncRNA from 14 species
GUUGAAGGCAGAAAUACUUCUAGAGAAAGUCGUCUCUUGCUAGUUUCAGAAGAUAAAUAUAUUGAACAAUUUGACAUUCAUGUUGUUGCAGAAGAGGAACACAAAGUGCUGAUUCAAAAGUCAGGUCAGCUUCCAAGAGCCAAAGUUGUAGAUGACCUCGUUUGGGCACAGUGGGAUAUGAUGGAGCAAAGACUCUUCUACAUUGUUCCAAAGGAAUCAAAGAGUACUUUAAGGUGUGUCCAGUUUUAUCCUGAGGAAAAUUUUAGUUCAAUAGUAAGUUCUGAGUAUUUUAAUAUAAAUGGUUUACAGUGGGAUGUAAUUAUGUUUUCCAGGUACUGGUACAGAGGUCUUUUUCGUUGUUGAAACUUUUUCAGAGGAAAACUGGAGUUUUUUGGGGUUUUUUUUUGCAUUAUUUUCUUGUCAAGAAUAUAUUCAGUGAGACUCAGAUUUUUCCCCACAGUAAGGUAACUUUAUUGGAAUUACACUUUUUUUGACCUGGAAGGCAUUAAGUGACAUUCAUGACACUGUGCUGAACUUAUACUCACUUAUUGAAAAAGCAGGCUUAGCAAGUGCACUCGUCAAAGAAACCAUGUUAUUUUCUGUCGGUUUUAAGUGAGACAGGAACAUUCGUUGCAGCCAAAAUACAAAAACCAGAACAUAAAAAUUACAACGUGAUUGUUACUAGACCUUUGUUCCAGUGGCUUUUAUUUUCUCUUAAAAAAAAAUCUGUUUUAUGGAGGAUUUUGACAUGACUAUAAGGGUUAGAGGAGGAUAAAUAAACCUGUUAAAAUAUUGAACUUGGUGAAAUGUAACUAUGACACAUUUUACUGGUCUGAAAUACUAAACAUAGUAUAUUGACCUCUGUAAAGAACAGGUUUGUUUUCCUUUUUGUUUAACAGCUGGAAUCACAUCUGGAUAUUGCUGUAAAUGACACACAAUUAAAGUAAGUUGUUUGUUUCUUUAAUGUUUUGGUUUGCUUUCCUUUCAAUAUACAUGGUGACAUUUUACAAACCUGAGUAAAAUUUGUCCAAACCACAAUAUCUUUGUUUGCAGUUGCCUACAUGGCACUGGAACAUGAGAAUAAUAGGAAAACUGUGUCCAGACCUCCAGUUCUUAUUCUCAUCAGGGUCAACUGUAAAAAGUAAUUUAAUCCUUGGCUGUUUCUUAGUACCACUUAAAAAAAUUAUUUGUCUGAAGAGCUAGCUAGGGCUUAAACCUUCUGAGUAUGCUGAACCUAUUUAAAUUAAUUUGCUUUAACCUAGGGCAGGUUUUAAUGGUGAUGUUAAAAUAUCUGUUAAGGGAAGCUCUGCAUUUUUAAUUGCUGUUGCAAGUUUUAUUGGGCAGUUAAGCAAACCAGUAGCACCUUUUUAUGGCCUGUGAAGACACUGCCUGUACUCUGUUCUCCUCCAGCAUGCUCUAUCCAGCAGCCUGCACUUCCAAAGAUGAAGAUUUGUCUGAUUCUGUAUCUGCCAUGCACAUGACUGCAUCUGAGCUUGUCUCCUGAGGGCUCC